rnacentral:miRNA from 1 species
UUUUAUUGUAUUUUUUUGAGACAGAGUCUCCCUAUGUACUUCAGGCUGGCUUUGAACUCACUGUGUAGCCAAGCUAGCCUCAAACUCAUGGCGAUCCUCCUGUCUCAGCCUC